rnacentral:misc_RNA from 1 species
UUCUAUUUGUUAGAGCUGUAUCUAUGGCAUUUUUAACCAAGUAGUCAUCAUACUCUUGCCCCAUAAAUCAUAAUUCCACUGAUGCAGUCCAAGACAUAUAAUUUUGACUUCCUACUAAUUUAACAGUAGUAACAGCGGGUGAAUCACCAAUGGAAGAAAAUAUGGGUUUAAGAAUCUCAAAACCUGUGUUGGAUAUGGGUGUGAAAAUCUUAGAACCUGUGUUGGAGGCUGUAUU